rnacentral:piRNA from 1 species
UCUCUUUUGUGAGUCAUGUGAUGGUCCUU